GGAGCCGUGCCUGAAAUAAAGGACCACUUUGAUAGAGUGGAUCAUGUGGGUUAAAACCCCCCCGCCUCCU
rnacentral:tRNA from 2 species